rnacentral:rRNA from 1 species
AGAACGAACGCUGGCGGCAUGCCUAAUACAUGCAAGUCGAACGAACACUUCGGUGUUAGUGGCGCACGGGUGCGUAACGCGUGGGAAUCUGCCCUUGGGUUCGGAAUAACAGUUGGAAACGACUGCUAAUACCGGAUGAUAUCGAAAGAUCAAAGAUUUAUCGCCCAGGGAUGAGCCCGCGUAGGAUUAGCUAGUUGGUGAGGUAAAGGCUCACCAAGGCGACGAUCCUUAGCUGGUCUGAGAGGAUGAUCAGCCACACUGGGACUGAGACACGGCCCAGACUCCUACGGGAGGCAGCAGUAGGGAAUAUUGGACAAUGGGCGCAAGCCUGAUCCAGCAAUGCCGCGUGAGUGAUGAAGGCCUUAGGGUGUAAAGCUCUUUACCCGAGUAUGAUAAUGAACAGUAUCGGGAAUAAGUAACGCCCCCGGACGUAAACCUCCGUCGCCAGCCGAACGCCGGAC